rnacentral:lncRNA from 1 species
GGGAGAGGAGUGAGAGGAAUUAGUCGAAGUUACAGGUUUGACUAUAAACCUCCUUUGUUCUGCAAACUUCAUAUUUCAAACAGUCACUUUCGCCUUUUCUUUUGUUUAUUGUGUUGAUGAUAGUGUUGUUUGUUUCAGGAUACACACUGGGGGAGAGCUUCUUCGGGCUGAAUCCUUAACUGGUGUCUGGUGAUGCUUUGUUGAAGCAACUUUGGCAAAAGGGAAAGUGGGGGAAAAAGAUGAGUAAAAUGGAAAGUGGAGUUCGCGUGGGGAGAGAACAAAAGGAUAAGUGGAGUGGAGUUUACGUGGGCCAAAGUGAAAAAAAAAAAAGGAAAAGUGUGGGUCAUGUGGGGAAUGGUGAGAGAG